rnacentral:rRNA from 1 species
UACGUAGGGUGCAAGCGUUGUCCGGAAUUAUUGGGCGUAAAGAGCGUGUAGGCGGCCCGAUUAGUCCGCUGUGAAAGUCCAGGGCUCAACCCUGGAAUGCCGGUGGAUACUGUCGGGCUAGAGUCCGGAAGGGGCGAGUGGAAUUCCUGGUGUAGCGGUGAAAUGCGCAGAUAUCAGGAGGAACACCGAUGGCGAAGGCAGGUCUCUGGGCCACUACUGACGCUGAGAAGCGAAAGCAUGGGGAGCGAACAGG